rnacentral:rRNA from 1 species
UACGGAGGAUCCAAGCGUUGUCCGGAUUUAUUGGGUUUAAAGGGUGCGUAGGCGGAUAUAUAAGUCAGUGGUGAAAGCCUGCAGCUUAACUGUAGAAUUGCCAUUGAAACUGUGUAUCUUGAAUAUGGUUAAAGUAAGCGGAAUGUAUCAUGUAGCGGUGAAAUGCUUAGAUAUGAUACAGAACACCGAUAGCGAAGGCAGCUUACUGAGCUAUGAUUGACGCUGAGGCACGAAAGCGUGGGGAGCGAACAGG